GAUGAACGCUAGCGGCAGGCCUAAUACAUGCAAGUCGAACGAUACUUUCCAGCUUGCUGGAAAGGAAAGUGGCGCACGGGUGCGUAACGCGUAUGCAACCUACCUUAAUCAGGGGGAUAGCCCGAAGAAAUUCGGAUUAACACCGCAUAAAAUCACAGUACAGCAUUGUACAAUGAUCAAAUAUUUAUAGGAUUAAGAUGGGCAUGCGUGACGUUAGCUAGUUGGCGGGGUAACGGCCCACCAAGGCGACGAUGUCUAGGGGAUCUGAGAGGAUGACCCCCCACACUGGUACUGAGACACGGACCAGACUCCUACGGGAGGCAGCAGUAAGGAAUAUUGGUCAAUGGAGGCAACUCUGAACCAGCCAUGCCGCGUGCAGGAAGACAGCCCUCUGGGUCGUAAACUGCUUUUAUUCGGGAAUAAACCUACUUACGUGUAAGUAGCUGAAUGUACCGAAGGAAUAAGGAUCGGCUAACUCCGUGCCAGCAGCCGCGGUAA
rnacentral:rRNA from 1 species